rnacentral:rRNA from 1 species
UGAGGAAUAUUGCGCAAUGGGCGAAAGCCUGACGCAGCGACGCCGCGUGGAGGAUGAAGGCCUUCGGGUUGUAAACUCCUGUCAGUGGGGAAGAGAAUGGACGGUACCCACUGAGGAAGCUUCGGCUAACUACGUGCCAGCAGCCGCGGUAAGACGUAGGGAGCAAGCGUUGUCCGGAAUUACUGGGCGUAAAGAGCUCGUAGGCGGGAUCGUAAGUCUGGUGUGAAAGCCCAGGGCUCAGCUCUGGAAGUGCACUAGAUACUGGGAAGCUUGAGUAUCGGAGGGGAGAGUGGAAUUCCUGGUGUAGCGGUGAAAUGCGUAGAUAUCAGGAGGAAUACCGGUGGCGAAAGCGACUCUCUGGACGAUUACUGACGCUGAGGCACGAAAGCGUGGGGAGCAAACAGGAUUAGAUACCCCGGUAGUCCCUGAGCGGGCUGGCAAGGCGCAU